rnacentral:rRNA from 1 species
GACGAACGCUGGCGGCGUGCCUAAUACAUGCAAGUAGAACGCUGAAGAGAGGAGCUUGCUCUUCUUGGAUGAGUUGCGAACGGGUGAGUAACGCGUAGGUAACCUGCCUGGUAGCGGGGGAUAACUAUUAAACGAUAGCUAAUACCGCAUAAAAUUGAUUAUUGCAUGAUAGUCAAUUGAAAGGUGCAACUGCACCACUACCAGAUGGACCUGCGUUGUAUUAGCUAGUUGGUGGGGUAACGGCUCACCAAGGCGACGAUACAUAGCCGACCUUAGAGGGUGAUCGGCCACACUGGGACUGAGACACGGCCCAGACUCCUACGGGAGGCAGCAGUAGGGAAUCUUCGGCAAUGGACGGAAGUCUGACCGAGCAACGCCGCGUGAGUGAAGAAGGUUUUCGGAUCGUAAAGCUCUGUUGUAAGAGAAGAACGAGUGUGAGAGUGGAAAGUUCACA